GGUUCAGUUGGCUCAACAACUGAUUCAAGAAUUCAUGAACAUUCACCAGUAUCCAAUUACAAGGAGCAACUACACAGACUCGAGUUAUAGGUCCCCGUUUUCGCAGUUGGGCAACAGCACAUCUUCACUUUCGUCCCAACCCUAUGGCGGAUACGGAGGAUCUUCUAGUGUUCAACUUUUAGAUGAUAAUUCAAUGUAGAUUACGCCG